rnacentral:rRNA from 1 species
GAAGUGGCCGCCUGGCAUGAGCUGCUUGAUUGUAUUGCGCUCCAUGAACCGACUGUCGAUGUUGGCCCGGAUGAGGUUCGGUGGCACCUUGAGCCUUCGGGACAAUUCUCCACCAAGUCCCUCUAUGCGGCUAUCGCCCCCUCCUCCGCCUCCCCCCUUCAGGCGGUUUGGUCCAUUCGACUGCCCCUUAAAAUCCGGAUCUUCAUGUGGCAGUGGAUCCGCGGUCGGCUUCCGUCGGGUGUUGAGGUCCGCAAGCGCAAUGGCCCGGGCUUUGGCCUCUGCCCCCUCUGUGAUUCCCCCGAAGACUUGAACCACAUUUUCUUCUCUUGUGUGUCUGCGCAGUUCGUCUGGAGCUGCUUUAGGGAGGCAAGUGGCGGGAAUUGGUGCCACUCCAACUUCCCCGACCUCUUCGCCGAACUACAGGCCUCCCCGCUUCCAUGUCGCCAGAUUAGGUGGCUUGAGAUUGGGGUUCUCGCGUGGACGCUUUGGACCAUUCGCAAUAAACUUGUGAUUCAGCGCUCCCCUCUCCGACGCUCUACUGACGCCCUCUACAAAUUGUCUGGUUACUUGCAGCUCUGGCGGCCGCUUAGCCGCCCUCGGGACCGGGACGCCAUCUCCGCCUUCAUCGCCGACCUCCGCUCGAUGGCCGUCUGCCUGUCGCCGCCCCCUCCGCCGCCUCCUCCUGAGCCUGAUUAG